UAUUUUAGAUUAUAAGCUCCUGG
rnacentral:miRNA from 1 species